rnacentral:rRNA from 1 species
UACGUAGGGGCCUAGCGUUGUCCGGAUUUAUUGGGCGUAAAGAGCCCGUAGGCGGUUUGGUAAGUCGGGUGUGAAAUCUCCACGCUCAACGUGGAGGGGCCACCCGAUACUGCCAUGACUGGAGUCCGGUAGGGGAGUGUGGAAUUCCCGGUGUAGCGGUGAAAUGCGUAGAGACCCGGAGGAACACCGGUGGCGAAGGCGGCUUCCUGGCCUACUACUGACGCUGUGGCGCGAAAGCUGGGGGAGCGAACGGG